rnacentral:rRNA from 1 species
UACAGAGGUCCCAAGCGUUGUUCGGAUUCAUUGGGCGUAAAGGGUGUGUAGGCGGCGCGCUAAGUCGGGUGUGAAAUUUCGGAGCUUAACUCCGAAACUGCAUUCGAUACUGGCGUGCUUGAGGACUGGAGAGGAGACUGGAAUUCAUGGUGUAGCAGUGAAAUGCGUAGAGAUCAUGAGGAAGACCAGUGGCGAAGGCGGGUCUCUGGACAGUUCCUGACACUGAGACACGAAGGCCAGGGGAGCAAACGGG